CUUGCCUUUCCACCCCCUAAUUGUCAACCACAAAAAUGAGAAAUUCCUCUUCUAGCUCAGCCUUGAGUCCAUUGCCAAAUUUUCAGCACACCUGCCAGCAACUUGGGGGAAUAAGCGAAGGUUUCCCUACAAGAGGGAAAGAAGGCAAAAACGGCACAGCUAUCUCCAAACACAUCUGAGUUCAUUUCAAAAGUGACCAAGGGAAUCUCCGCACAAAAGUGCAGAUUGAGGAAUUGUGAUGGGUCAUUCCCAAGAAUCCCCCAAGGGGCAUCCCAAAUCCCUGAGGAGUAACAGCUGCAAACCUGGUCAGUUCUCAGUGAGAGCCAGCUCACUUAUAGCUUUGCUGCUAGAACCUGUUGUGGCUGCAUUUCCUGGUGGCCAGUGACAACUGUGUAACCAGAAUAGCUGCAUGGCGCUGACCCUUUGGCCGGAACUUGGUCUCUUGGCUCCCUCCUUGGCCACCCACCACCUCUCGCACAGCCCCUCUGUUUUUACACCAAUAACAAGAAUUAAGGGGGAAGCCCUGGCAGCUAUACGUUUUCAACCAGACUCCUUUGCCGGGACCCAGCCCGCCACCCUGCUCGCCUCCGUCAAACCCCCGGCCAAUGCAGUGAGCACCAUGUAGCUCCCUUGAUUUAAAAAAAAUAAAAAAUAAAAAAAAAAGGAAAAAAAAAUACAACACACACACAAAAAUAAAAAAAAUAUUCUAAUGAAUGUAUCUUUCUAAAGGACUGACGUUCAAUCAAAUAUCUGAAAAUACUAAAGGUCAAAACCUUGUCAGAUGUUAACUUCUAAGUUCGGUUUGGGAUUUUUUUUUUUUAAUAGAAAUCAAGUUGUUUUUGUUUUUAAGGAAAAGCGGGUCAUUGCAAAGGGCUGGGUGUAAUUUUAUGUUUCAUUUCCUUCAUUUUAAAGCAAUACAAGGUUAUGGAGCAGAUGGUUUUGUGCCGAAUCAUGAAUACUAGUCAAGUCACACACUCUGGAAACUUGCAACUUUUUGUUUGUUUUGGUUUUCAAAUAAAUAUAAAUAUGAUAUAUAUAGGAACUAAUAUAGUAAUGCACCAUGUAACAAAGCCUAGUUCAGUCCAUGGCUUUUAAUUCUCUUAACACUAUAGAUAAGGAUUGUGUUACAGUUGCUAGUAGCGGCAGGAAGAUGUCAGGCUCACUUUCCUCUGAUUCCCGAAAUGGGGGGAACCUCUAACCAUAAAGGAAUGGUAGAACAGUCCAUUCCUCGGAUCAGAGAAAAAUGCAGACAUGGUGUCACCUGGAUUUUUUUCUGCCCAUGAAUGUUGCCAGUCAGUACCUGUCCUCCUUGUUUCUCUAUUUUUGGUUAUGAAUGUUGGGGUUACCACCUGCAUUUAGGGGAAAAUUGUGUUCUGUGCUUUCCUGGUAUCUUGUUCCGAGGUACUCUAGUUCUGUCUUUCAACCAAGAAAAUAGAAUUGUGGUGUUUCUUUUAUUGAACUUUUAACAGUCUCUUUAGUAAAUACAGGUAGUUGAAUAAUUGUUUCAAGAGCUCAACAGAUGACAAGCUUCUUUUCUAGAAAUAAGACAUUUUUUGACAACUUUAUCAUGUAUAACAGAUCUGUUUUUUUUCCUUGUGUUCUUCCAAGCUUCUGGUUAGAGAAAAAGAGAAAAAAAAAAAAGGAAAAUGUGUCUAAAGUCCAUCAGUGUUAACUCCCUGUGACAGGGAUGAAGGAAAAUACUUUAAUAGUUCAAAAAAUAAUAAUGCUGAAAGCUCUCUACGAAAGACUGAAUGUAAAAGUAAAAAGUGUACAUAGUUGUAAAAAAAAGGAGUUUUUAAACAUGUUUAUUUUCUAUGCACUUUUUUUUAUUUAAGUGAUAGUUUAAUUAAUAAACAUGUCAAGUUU
rnacentral:lncRNA from 1 species